AAAAGGAUAUUGUUGGAGCAGCAUUGACUAUUAUGAAUAGAGCUAUAGAGGAAGAGCGAUACAUCGAUGCAACUUUCAUUCGUGAUCAUGUUGGGGCAGGACUGAAACUUAAAGCAAUGUUCAGAAAGGGUGCAUGCGACUUAAAUACUGAUGAAAAAGGUAGUUGCUCAGUAUACUGCUUUGUGGUUUUUAUGCAAACUGCACAUCCUCAAGCUUUGAGAUCUUACUAGAGUGUUGCUGCUGUAAUGUUGAGACAUAAGAAAAGGGAGAAAGCUGGGUUUGCAAGCUAAGUCUAUGAAAUUCUGUAUGCAGAAAA